UGGGUGGUGCCUGACGAGGAAGGGCUUCACUUAUAAUGGAGUAUAUGCGGGUGCAAAUCCCGCCCGCCCAA
rnacentral:tRNA from 1 species